rnacentral:rRNA from 1 species
CGUAUCACCCAAGACAACUUUACGGAGUUGACGAUUGACGGAGCGAAGCGACGUCAAAGCGUUCAUUAAAGUCGAGUUGGCUUAGGGAUACGUUCGUUGGGUAGGGGAGCGUUCUGUAAGCCUGUGAAGGUGGCCUGUGAGGGUUGCUGGAGGUAUCAGAAGUGCGAAUGCUGACAUAAGUAACGAUAAAGCGGGUGAAAAGCCCGCUCGCCGGAAGACCAAGGGUUCCUGUCCAACGUUAAUCGGGGCAGGGUGAGUCGACCCCUAAGGCGAGGCCGAAAGGCGUAGUCGAUGGGAAACGGGUUAAUAUUCCCGUACUUGGUGUUACUGCGAAGGGGGGACGGAGAAGGCUAUGUUGGCCGGGCGACGGUUGUCCCGGUUUAAGCGUGUAGGUGUGUGUUCCAGGUAAAUCCGGUUCACUUUAACACUGAGGCGUGACGACGAGGCACUACGGUGCUGAAGCAACAAAUGCCCUGCUUCCAGGAAAAGCCUCUAAGCAUCAGGUAACAUCAAAUCGUACCCCAAACCGACACAGGUGGUCAGGUAGAGAAUACCAAGGCGCUUGAGAGAACUCGGGUGAAGGAACUAGGCAAAAUGGUGCCGUAACU